GGAAUAAAAGAGUUAAAGAAGAAACAUUGGGCUUGUAACACACACACAUUUUCUAAACCACGUGUCCCAUAUGGGGUUGCGGGGAGCCGGAGCCUAACCCGGCAACUCAGGGCGUAAGGCUGGAGAGGACGCACCUAGGACAGGACGCCAGUCUGUCGCAGGGUACCCCAAGCGGGACUCGAACCCCAGACCCACUGGAGAGCAGGACCUGGUCCAACCCACUGCGCCGCGAGGCUUGUAACAUUACAUAUGAAAUAAAUAUACAUACAUAUAGGUUUUUCUGCACUUAUAUUUCCAAUUUAAAUAACAGCUGACAAUUACAAUUUGUGUAAAACAUCUGGCUGAGAUGUGACAAUACAUCAUUCACUGUUCCUAUUUCAAAUUAUAAAAAUGGAUUCUGAACUGAAAUUUGGAUUACGAAAUACGAUCGAUUAUUAUGCACCUGUAGCCUAUUUGUUUAGUUACUUUUAAUCGUUUUUGUGAUUGCCAUAUCCUUCUGAAUACACAGAGAUAAUAUUCCUUUAUUCCAUUUCAACUUGAAUGGGAGCUCCGGACCUCUAUUUUUUGGGGUGUUUUAAACCUUUUAUGUUUGAGGCUUACUGUAAAUAAGCAGCACGGUGUGGAGAAGGAUUCCCAACUCAGGAGAUGUCACUAAGUAUUCCAGACAUGGAAAGACUGGAAUCAACGAUCUGCCCAAACAGUUAAUCGAAUUCUCGACUUAAUCUGGCUCGUGUUUGCUAGUUGAAUAAAGAAUGAAAAGACCAGUUGGCAAAAUGUGGGUAGAGAGACAGUGCAGCUGUUGUUCUGGGACUUUCCUGCUGGUGUGGGAAUAGUGUCCCAAUCAGUUACUGGGGAAAGCGCAAGAGAUGGCACAGCAAGAACAUCAUGAAAGCUUGGAAAAAUGAGAAGGAAAGGGUCGCGGGGAGCCGGAGCCUAGCCUGGCAGCGCAGGGCUGGAGGGGGAGGGGACACACCCAGAGCGGGACGCCGGUCCGUCGCAGGGCACCCCAAGCGGGAUUUGAACCCCAGGCCUACAGAGGAGCAGGACCCGGUCCAACCCACCGCGUCACCGCA
rnacentral:lncRNA from 1 species